CUCUGUGACUCCUACGGGAGGCAGCAGUGGGGAAUAUUGCACAAUGGGCGCAAGCCUGAUGCAGCCAUGCCGCGUGUGUGAAGAAGGCCUUCGGGUUGUAAAGCACUUUCAGUCGUGAGGAAGGUAGUGUAGUUAAUAGCUGCAUUAUUUGACGUUACCUACAGAAGAAGCACCGGCUAACUCCGUGCCAGCAGCCGCGGUAAUACGGAGGGUGCGAGCGUUAAUCGGAAUUACUGGGCGUAAAGCGCAUGCAGGCGGCCUGUUAAGUCAGAUGUGAAAGCCCGGGGCUUAACCUCGGAAUUGCAUUUAGAAACUGGCAGGCUAGAGUCUUGUAGAGGGGGUAGAAUUUCAGGUGUAGCGGUGAAAUGCGUAGAGAUCUGAAGGAAUACCAGUGGCGAAGGCGGCCCCCUGGACAAAGACUGACGCUCAGAUGCGAAAGCGUGGGGAGCAAACAGGUUUAGAUACCCUGGUAG
rnacentral:rRNA from 1 species